AGGAGGAGGUUGAAGGUUGUAAUCUCCAAAAGGCACAUCCUCGAUACUUAGGUGCACCACGCAUCUGGGGAGAUAGGGAACCGGGGGGUUCCGUUCGUGGAGUUUGUAGACGUGUACAAAGCUAGAAAAAACACCAUCCUCCCGCAACAACAUGGGAAAAUUCGUAUUGAAAUUCAACCAAAUCCUAUCACUUCAAUCCGCCUAUCAAACAACUGUAAUUCCCGAGUUUGAGUUUAAAGUCAAAACUAAUGCAGA